rnacentral:lncRNA from 1 species
GCAGAUUGUUCAUUAAAUCAGCCAAAGCGUAUGGACAGCUUCUGAGAGGAGGCUGCCGAUAGAAGAACGGAAUCAAAGAGAAUGAAUUUGUGAUCACAGAUAAAAAAUCCUCCAUAUUAACAGCUGAGUGACAAGCUGAGGGUAAACACAAGAUCAAGGCAAUAUUCAAAGGCAGCGCUGUUUAAAGAGUUGUUAAUAUGAAUAUUAAAAAUUCACCACACACAGUAACUCAUGUUCAACAACAACAUGAGGAAUUAAAUAAGAGAGCUCAGAAAACUGUCAAUAGAUGUGUGUUUUGCUCUACUUUCCUCCCCCAACACAUCACCUUGGAACUACAGUAGUGAGAGCACAAGGGAUGUGGAUACACUUGUUAAACUUUCAAAUAAUGGGUCUCAAUUAUUAGCUGGGCUGUGGCAGCCACAAACUAGCUGGUCACUAUUAAAAGCUGGUUAAAAAGCAUUGAUAGGAGUAGAAUUACCUGUAGCCUGCUACAACAGCUCACAUGGUAAAUUUAGUGUAAUAUCUAUUUCCAUAGCAUUUGUUCCAUAAAUACAACAAAAGAGUUAUGUUAUAAACACCUGCUUCUCUACAUUUCUAUUUUUAACCAAAAUAUCUGUUUACAUGUACAGUAUGCAUGGGACAGAUAAUCUGGUAACAAUGAGGUUCCUCUGGUUUGUCACAGUGCUCCUAAUGGAAAACAACCAAUCAGAGCAGAGGCAUAUAGCGGUGCAGUUGCAGAUCACAACUACCCUCACUUCAACCUAUUCCAAGCGCAAAAGGGAAAACUAUGGUGAACCUAUCUGUAGCUAGUGUUUGGUUUGUUCGUUCUGGUCAGCAGUAGAAACAUGGCGCUUCAAUGUGGCGGACUCCACCAGGAAAGAGACCACUCCCUGUGUAGACAAAAAUAUCUCUUUCUAAAGUAAUGACAGCCUUCUCAUUUUCAGGUGAUUAUUCUCAAAUGAAAAACAUACCUGUGAAUAUGACAUUUCAUUUCUGACAAUAGAUCCUCCUAACUGUUACACACUGGACCUUUUAAGCACAUGAAUAAAACAUGUAAUGUGUGACAUACCUGUGGUAACCUAUGUACGUUACUUGGGUUAAAGUUGGGAGGUGGAAAGUCUCUCCUUUCUCUGCUCCCCUCUCCACAUUCAAGAGUAGGCUUAAGACAUUCCUCUUUGAUAAAGCUUAUAGUUAGGGCUGGAUCAGGUGAGUCCUGAACCAUCCCUUAGUUAUGCUGCUAUAGGCCUAGACUAUCGGGGGAUUUCCCAUGAUGCACUGAGCUCCUCCCUUCCUCUCUCUUUCUGCACUCAUUCAUGUCCCAUUAAUGCAUGUUACUAACUUCACUUCUUCCCCGGAGUUCUUGUGCUUUCUCGUCUCGCAGGUACUCAUCGAUCCUGGUGGAGCCUCCUGCCAUGGUCCUGCUAGACUCCCAUUGCUAAUAUCACUGAUAUUAUUAAUAUUAUUAUUAUUACUACAGUUAUUAUUAUUACUAUUGUCACUGCUACAUUGACCCCCAUCGUUGUUGUCGCCGUCAGCAUCUUCUUCAUGUUCAUCAUCAUCAGUCACUAUUAUUAGUGUAGUUGUUGCUCUGUCUGUCUGUCUGUCUGUCUGUCUGUCUGUCUGUCUCUCUCUCUCUCUCUCUCUCUCUCUCUCUCUCUCUCUCUCUCUCUCACCCCAACUGGUCGAGACAGACAACCACCCACCUAGAGCCGGAGGAUCUGUCCUAGGUUUCUGCCUUUUAACAGGCAGUUUUUCCUUGCCCUUGUCGCCAAGGUCUUGCUCAUGGUGGUACUGUUGGGUCUCUGUAAAUAAUGUUAUAAAGAGUUCGGUCUAGACCUGCUCUAUUUGAAAAGUGUCCUGAGAUAACUUCUGUUAUGAAUUGGCGCUAUACAAAUAAAAUUGAAUUGAAUUGAAUUGAAUUGAAUUGCUGUGCUUGUCUUGCAUGAUUUUUUUACAGUGUAGUCUCUGUAUGAAGAGAC